CCUGGGUGUGGUCGUGGGCACCUGUAGUCUCAACUACUUGGGAGGUUGAGGCAAGAGGAUCGCUUGAGCUCAGUGGCUCUGGGCUAUAGUGUGCUCUGUCAAUCGGGUGACCACGCUAAGAUUGGCAUCAAUAUGGUGACCUUCUAGGAGCAUAUGACCACCGUGUUGCCUAAGGAGGGGGGUGCCAGUCCACACUGGAAACAGAGCAGGUCCAAACUCCUGUGCUAAUCAGUCGUGAGAUCGUGCUUGUGAAGAGUCACUGCACUCCAGCCUGGGCCACAGUGUGGGAGCUUUUCUAUA
rnacentral:SRP_RNA from 1 species